GCGGAGGAAAAGAAAAUAACAAUGAUUUCCCUAGUAACGGCGAGUGAAGAGGAAAGAGCUCAAAGUUGGAACCUGUUUGGCUUAGCUAAACCGGAUUGUAAACUGUAGAAGUGUUUUCCAGACACGCCUGGUAAAAAAGUCCUUUGGAACAGGGCAUCAUAGAGGGUGAGAAUCCCGUCAUUGGCCAGAGCUGUUGUCUUUUGUGAUACAUUUUCAAAGAGUCAGGUUGUUUGGGAAUGCAGCCUAAAUUGGGUGGUAAAUCUCACCUAAAGCUAAAUAUUUGCGAGAGACCGAUAGCGAACAAGUACCGUGAGGGAAAGAUGAAAAGAACUUUGAAAAGAGAGUUAAACAGUAUGUGAAAUUGUUAAAAGGGAACCGUUUGGAGCCAGACUGGCUUGAUCGUAAUCACUCUAGGCUUUGGCCUGGAUGCACUUGCGGUCUAUGCCGGCCAACGACAGUUUUGUCUGAGGGAAAAAAUUACAUUGAAUGUGGCCCCUCGGGGUGUUAUAGCUUUGUAAAAAAUACCUUGGAUGGGACUGAGGAACGCAGUGAAUGCCUUUAGGCGAGAUUGCUGGGUGCUUGCGCUGAUACAUGCUAGAAUUUCUGCUUCGGGUGGUGCUAGUGUGUAAAGGAGUAACCCGCUUAGUAUAUUUUUUAUUCGCUUAGGUUGUUGGCUUAAUGACUCUAAAUGAC
rnacentral:rRNA from 1 species